GCUGAUAUAGACGUAGAAAUCAAGAUGAAUGCUGAUAAUAUCGAGCCAAAUUCAAGUAGCUCUAACCGAGUGGUUAGAGCUAACUUGAUGGAAGGCGUAGGGGCACGAGUUGUUCGAGGACCAGACUGGAAAUGGGGAAAACAAGAUGGUGGGGAGGGGCAUGCUGGAACAGUUAGAAAUUUUGAGUCGCCAGAAGAGGUUGUGGUAGUUUGGGAUAACGGAACAGCUGCUAACUAUCGAUGUGCAGGAGCCUACGACCUAAGGAUAUUGGAUAGUGCUUCAACAGGUAUCAAACAUGAUGGUACAAUGUGCGAUACGUGUAGACAGCAGCCGAUAUUUGGCAUCAGAUGGAAGUGUGCAGAGUGUUCUAACUACGACGUAUGCUCUGUCUGCUAUCAUGGAGACAAACACAACCUUCGUCACAGAUUUUACAGAAUUACCGUUCCAGGAUCUGAUAGGGUUGCCGUGGAGCCACGAAGAAAAAGUAAAAAGAUAACAGCGAGAGGAAUUUACCCUGGAGCUAGAGUAGUGAGAGGUGUUGACUGGCAAUGGGAGGACCAGGAUGGGGGUAAUGGUCGACGAGGAAAAGUCACUGAGAUACAGGAUUGGAGUGCUGCCAGCCCAAGAAGUGCUGCAUAUGUGCUGUGGGAUAAUGCUUCAAAAAACCUUUACAGAGUGGCUUUUGAAGGCAUGGCUGAUUUAAAAGUGGUGAAUGAUGCCAAAGGCGGGUCCUUCUACAGAGAUCAUCUCCCAUUGCUGGGGGAGCAGGGGCCAGGCUCCAGGGCGGGACCAGGUGGGCUGGCUAUCGGUGACCAGGUCAAUGUCGACCUUGACCUUGAGAUUGUCCAGUCCUUACAGCAUGGCCACGGGGGAUGGACAGAUGGCAUGUUUGAGUGCCUGGGUACGACAGGAACUGUGGUGGGAAUAGACGAAGACCAUGACAUUGUGGUGUCCUACCCUAGUGGUAACAGUAGGUGGACUUUCAACCCAGCAGUUCUAACCAAGGUUAACACUCCAAGCAGUGCUACAGCUUCUGCGAACGAAAACACUACUCCAACUCCACCCACACAACAGUUUGCUGUUGGAGACCUUGUCCAAAUCUGUAGUGAUGCUGAGAAAAUAAAACUGCUUCAGCGCGGCCAUGGAGAGUGGGCCGAGGCCAUGAUUCCUACCCUGGGUAAGAUUGGCCGGGUACAGCAGAUUUACCAUGAUAAUGACCUGAAGGUUGAAGUGUGUGGUACAUCCUGGACAUACAACCCUUCUGCUGUCACUAAAGUUGCAUCGUCAGAUGGGGCUGCCAUCGGCAACUCAUCCGGAGAACGCCUAAGUGCUCUCCUGAAAAAGUUGUUUGAGACGCAUGUUUCUGGAGAUGUAAACGAGGAGCUAGUGAAGGCAGCAGCAAAUGGAGAUGGGACCAAAGUUGAUGAACUCUUACAGCGACCCGAGGCUGAUGCCAAUGGAAUGUUUGCUGGUCAUACUGCCCUCCAGGCAGCCUCACAAAAUGGACAUUCUGAUGUCAUACGGGUACUGAUGAAACAUGAUGUGGACUUUGAAAUAGAGGACAAAGAUGGUGAUCGUGCGGUGCACCAUGCUGCUUUUGGAGAUGAGCCUAGCGUGAUAGAACAGCUACAGAGAGGAGGUGCUGACCUCAAUGCCAGAAAUAAACGUCGCCAGACACCCCUACACAUUGGUGUAAACAAAGGUCACAUCGGUGUGGUGAAGACUCUGCUGGACCUUGGCUGUCACCCCAGUCUCCAGGACUCUGAAGGAGACAGUCCACUCCACGAUGCCAUCAGUAAGAAGCGAGAUGACAUGAUAUCUAUCCUGCUGGAACACCAUGCAGAUCUGACCAUAGCCAAUAACAAUGGCUUCAAUUCUCUACAUCAUGCUGCACUGCGGGGCAACCCAAGUGCAAUGAGAAUUUUACUAACUAAAAUUCCACGUCACUGGAUCGUGGAUGAGAAAAAAGAUGAUGGCUACACUGCACUCCAUCUUGCCGCACUAAAUAACCAUGUGGAGGUGGCUGAACUCCUUGUCCACCAGGUAAAGUCAUCAUCUCAAGGUCAAGACCAAAAGGUUAAGGGGAAGGCCAACAUGGACAUUCAGAAUGUCAACCUUCAGACUGCUCUACAUCUGGCUGUGGAACGUCAACACACACAGAUUGUCAGGUUAUUGGUGCGGGAGGGAUGUAACCUGAACGUGCCAGACAAAGAUGGUGACACUCCCCUCCACGAGGCCCUGAGACAUCACACCUUAUCCCAGCUCCGACAGCUCCAGGACAUGCAGGAUGUCGGCAAGUUACUGAUGGGACUAGGAACACCUGGAGCAGAUAAAAAGUCCAGUGCUUCCAUUGCUUGUUUCCUGGCCGCUAAUGGAGCUGACCUCAGCAUCAAAAAUAAGAAGGGUCAAACUCCACUUGACCUUUGCCCUGACCCUAACCUUUGUAAAGCCCUGGCUAAGUGUCAUAAGGAACGUCACAGCCCUGGAGCAGCUGCCGAGAACACUGUGAUUAUCCGUAAUGACCAGGAGUCGCUUCAGGAGUGUAUGGUGUGUUCGGACCUGAAGCGGGACACCCUGUUUGGGCCGUGCAGUCACAUUGCCACCUGUUCUCUCUGUUCGCCCAGAGUAAAGAAAUGUCUGAUGUGCAAGGAGCAGGUCCAAUCUAGGACUAAGAUUGAGGAGUGCGUGGUAUGCUCGGAUAAGAAAGCAUCAGUAUUAUUCCUUCCGUGUGGUCACAUGUGUGCUUGUGAUGGUUGUGCUGUCCUUAUGAAGAAGUGUGUGCAGUGUCGGUCCUCCAUAGAGAAGACUGUCCCUUUUAUUGUGUGUUGUGGAGGAACACCACCCCCUGCCCCCCAGCCACCCGGUGUGAUGAACAAUGGGUCACGUGACGUAUCUAAGGACAUUCAGAAGCUACAGCAACAAUUACAGGACAUCAAGGAUCAGACCAGCUGUCCAGUGUGUAUGGAUCGCCUGAAAAACAUGAUUUUCCUGUGUGGACACGGCACAUGUCAGAUGUGUGGAGACAGAAUGGCUGAGUGUCCCAUCUGUCGCAAGUCUGUAGAGAAACGCAUCCUCCUCUACUAAGAGAGGCAACUAUUAAAAUGCAUCACCUUCUAUGGGAGACAACUACUCAAAUACAACCUCCUCUGCCAGUGGAGACAACUAAGAGAUUACAUCCUCCAGUAGUUGUGUUGACAACUAAUAGAACACAUCCUCCAGUAGUUGUGUUGACAACUAAUAGAACACAUCCUCCAGUAGUUGUGUUGACAACUAAUAGAACACAUCCUCCAGUAGUUGUGUUGACAACUAAUAGAACACAUCCUCCAGUAGUUGUGUUGACAACUAAUAGAACACAUCCUCCAGUAGUUGUGUUGACAACUAAUAGAACACAUCCUCCAGUAGUUGUGUUGACAACUAUUGAAAUAGAACAUUCUCUACCAGUGGUGACAACUAAUAGAGCACAUCCUUCUGUAGCUAUGUUGAAACUAAUAGAACACAUCCUCCUGUAGUUGUCUUGACAAUUAUUCAAAUGCAUCCUCUUCUGCUAGGGGAGACAACUGUUGAAAUGCAUCACCUUCUAUGAGAGACAACUACUGAAAAACAACCUCCUCUAUCAGUGGAGACAACUUAUAGAGCACAUCUUCCUGUAGUUCUCUUGACAACUAUUCAAAUGCAUCCUCUUCUGCUAGGGGAGACAACUGUUGAAAUGCGUCCUACUCUACUAGUUGAAACAAAUAUUGGAACACAUUCUCUUCUACUAGUGGAGACAACUUUUUAAAUGCACUCUUCAAUGGAAAAGGAAGCUAAUGGAACACACCUUCCCCCCUCCUGAGGCAACUACAGAACUAUAUCAUAGAGUAGGAGGAAAUAGCAGUAGAAGACGUUUCAUCUCAACUCUCGAUAUUCAAGCAUAGAAAGUAUGCCAUGGAACUUACAUAUAUAUAUGUCUACAGAAAGAAAAAAGUUCCUUGUUUUAGGAUGUUGUUGUUGGAGAUAGUUAACAACUCUUAACAGGGGAAAACAUUGUCCUCUUCACAGGGUAGAGAAGGGAAAAUUUACUGUAGAGUGAAAAAUAUAUUUAUUAUCUUCUCAACCUUAAAUAGGAGGACGACACAUACGCUUGGAAUGAAUGACAUACUGAGAUUGUGAUAUUUGACUUGCCUUGUUCCCGUCAUUCCUGUGUAGAUGUCAAGGGAGGUAACCACGGUGUUUAGUUAACAGAAGGACUCUCGGACCCUUACCAUUAGUAAAGACCCCUUUCCAAGACAAUUUGUGUCAUAUUGACGUCCUAUAACUUCCUAAUUAUAGAGACUAUACCAGACGUAGGUGGCAUUCGUUUGUGCCAACAGCUUGUGAUGAGCAAAUCAAAAUUGAUGAAACCAAUGUGACAUACAAGAUAUCGGAUCGUUUUUUUGUGCAUGCAUAAUUCUUUGCAUUAUUGACAAAGUAAUGAAAUCACAAGUUGGUUUGAACAAGGGUUUGUUCAUAUGCCAAUAUCACAUAGAAGAAAUAAACACAAAAAAUAGUUUGCAAAAAAAGAUUUUCAUGAAAAUUUGCAAAAUUUGCAUCAUAUUUGGAUUUUCCAGUAUAAUUUAUAACAACUUAGUUGCAUAUAUAGAGGAUAUUUAAUGAAAGCUGAUUUGACUAUGACUUAUAUCCAACUGUGUGACUUUGUUCUUGGUCAUAAUGAGAAUUAGACAUGCGUAUGCCACAGACUAGAUAAAACGGUACUCUAAGCAUUCAACUUGUUAUUCCUUCACAGAUAGAAAGUUAGUUUAAAAUUAAAUUGUCCUUUUGAAAUUAUGUUACGGAUAAAAUAUGUACAAAAAAAACAUCAGGCAAUUGUCUAUAUAAUUUCCAAAGCUGUUUCACCUUAUAGUUAUCAUUAUAUAUGUAUUUGCUUUGUGAUCUUACUGCAUGAACUAUAUGAAUACAGAGUUGUGUCCCCUUGAUAUAUUAUCGUGCUUGUUAAUUGUCAUAUGUGUGUAUAAUUUUGAUCAAGGGAAAUAACUCUUAUUCAAUAUAUUGUUACAAAACUUCAAAAUUUACUCUGGUCUAAUAAUUGAUGUCCUUACACAUGUGAGGAUACGUGUCUUUGCUCUUGAUGAUUUGAGUGAUCAGCAUGGCUUGUAUUAAGCAAAUUAUUGACAGACUUUUGGACUGAUGGAAAAAGUGAAUGUCUUUAUCACCAGGUAUAUAAACAGGUCUGAUCAUUUUGUGAUAUCAGGAUUUUUGAUAUCUGACUCUCUGAUAUCUGUGGGUAUACUGAUUAAUACAAGAACAAAACAUGGGUUUGCUUAUUAUUAUGGUUUUAUUAACUGCGAGACAAUGUCUGAUUUUCAUGCUUAUAAAUAUGUUCAAUUCAUUCAUUGUGUAGAUUAUCAUUUAAUCAAUUUUUUAAUCUAAACCAUUACCGGUUUUUUUCAGUUUAUUAACUUCCAAUAAUAGUCAUUAGGAUCAAUCUAGCAUUGUAGCCAUUGCCAUCAGUCCUAUGUGAUCAUGUGUCCUGUGAUUAUUUGAUAAGAAAUGCCUGCUUCUUUAAUUUUUCGGUCUAUAUUCUUUGUGAAUCUGCCUUUCAGUUUGUUCUUUCCUUCCAUAAAUAACACCGACCGUUUUCACCAUUUCAGUUUUAAUACAUAAUUUUUUAUUUUUUGAGAAUAAUCGUUUAAACUUGAAUGAAUUAAGCGGUAGAUGAGUAAGAUUUUCAGUUUUCACAAAACGUAUAUAAUAACAUAUGGUAUUGUUUUUGUGCUUAGGAAAUCUGUUUAAGUUUUGUAAUUUCAACAAAAUAAAAAGAAAGAUAUAGAUUUUCACGAAAAUUUUCCUUUGCUAAAAUCAAUUUGGUUAAAUAAAUGAAAACACAACCAAGUAUCAAAGCUAGAAUAUUUGAACCAGAAAAGUUACUUGAUGGAACUACAGUUACAUAGUGAAUACAGUGUACAAUUCUGAUUGUAAAUUGUUUACGGUGGUUAAAUGACUAUAGAUUGUACUAAUGUAAUUGGACUGUAACGGAUGGUUAGGGCAUUAUGUUACUAAUUUGACAAUGUUUAUAAAUAGUAUGUUAAAUGAGGUACCACCCGUCGUCCUCCUGAAUAUAUGUCUGCAGUACUAGCCACAGUAAACCCUUACUAGUCUUUUCUCUGAAGUUGUGGUAAAUGCUGCUCUCUGAUUGGUCACUUUUACUGUGAAAUCACAAAGGUGUUAAUUUUCAUAUUCUUGGUAAAAUAUUGAUGUCUUUAACCAUAAAUUGAAAUUUCUGGUGAAAUUGAGGAGGGGAGGGGUGGGGGGGUUGACUGAUAACCUGUUUAAGAAAUAAACCUCAGCUUAAUCAUUAUCAAGGGUUUGUAAUGAUGGGCUUAUCAUUGGUAAAAUACAGUACUGUGAUUUAAUGUGUAUCUCUGUACGGUAGGAUAUCAUAUUCAACAAUCUCUGUUGUAUUAUAAUGCAUCAGUUAUAGUCUGAUAUUACAUACAUGAAGUGUUGAUGUACAACACAUGGCAUGGUGAGCCAGGUUGUUCUAAGGAAGUCUUUUACUAAGCAGACAGUGUUCUAUAGCUAGGUAGGAAAACCUGAGGUAUUGAUUUUCCUGGCACAGAUAGUUGUAUUAUUGUGCUGUAAAUAACUUGACAUCGUAUAACCUAUGUUGACUGUAAAUUUAUCAUGUAUAUGGUUUCCCUCAGCUAUAAUGUAUAGUCGGACCCAAAUGAUCUUCAUAUUAAGUAAUCCCUUUAUUUUCAGAUUUGAUUACCUUUUUGAUUGUCCAGGUGUGUUGAGUAGAGUAAAUAUGGCAUAGGAUGUCACAACUGUUUCACCUGUAACUUGAGUUGUCAAUUUCUUACAACAAUAGAUCUCCCUAUGCUAUCUAUAUAAAUAUUGACCCCCCUGUAAUCAUUGACGGCUAAUCGAAGAUCAACACGGCACGUCAUUGUGGUCUGACUAUUCAUUGUUCCCAUCAGCUGUUUGUUUACUUGUUUGCUUAUUGUGAUAUUCUAUGAGACUUGUUGAAUUGGUCAGUUUCAAUAGUAAUUAUAUAAAUUGUUUACUGUCUUAUUUGAGAAAAGAAACUCUGUUUGUCUACUUCAGUCAAAUGUGAUCUUCUAAAAACCAACAUUCAUUUGGUGUUAACAUCUGUAUACAGUAUUUUUUGCAUGUGCAGUUUCCUCUGGAACCUUUUUGUUGUGGAGAUCUGUGUAUUAUACAAAUAUCUUCCUUACUAGGGUUACAUUUCUUUCAGGAAACUAGUAUGUAUUAGUAUACCAAGAACGUUUAAGGUAUGAUUCCUGUGUUCUUACAUCAGAUUUGUUGAUAUACUGAACAAAUAUAUGACAAGCUUUAGUUAAAAAGCUGUUUGUAACAAGUUUCAGAAAUUUCCUAGAAAAGAAAAUGAAGUCGAAACAAUUCUCAUCAUGACAUGUAGAUUUCUUAAUUAUGCCGCCUUGCAGAAAAAUGAACUCUUGUCUAAUUGAAAAUGGCUAACCAGACAGCCCUGAAUUCAGUGCUAUAAGCAUGUUAUCUAUGACGGAAUAUAAACUGUUUGUGUUAUAUUUACCUACAGUACCGUAAUAUAUUCUAAACACCUGGCCUAAAUGACCUAGAGUAUUCUUAUGCCAAAAGAAGUUAUCUCCCUUUGCUACACACAGGACUUUGUGUUAACGUAUUCAAACAUUUCUUGCCUUCCACCUACAACUCAAUCACACAUUCAACUACACAUGAAUGUAUUCAACAAUCUAUAGCCACAGAAUGUCUGUUGAAUAACAUUAUUUCCUUAAAUUCUAAUUAAAUUAUUGGUACCUUCAUUUGUGUUGCAUGCACUUCUUUUGUUACUACCGGUUUCAUUUCUUAAUUAUAAUAUGAUGACGGUGAUAGCUUUCAAAUAUAAUUUAUGUUUUUAUGUGGUAAAUUAUUAUAGUUUCCUUCAUGAAUCAAGUCAUUACAAAGGCUUGAGUUAACCCAACAUUAAUUUUCGUUUUGUCAGAUUGUGGUACUUUGAUAACUUUUGUGAGGUCUACAGAUAGAAUAAAUCAAAAACUGUUAGAAUGAACACAAUGGAGAUAACAGAUUUCAAGAAAGAUUUCCCCCAGUCCUAGAUUGUGAUAUGAACAUGCUCCAUUGUGUACAUUGAAGCCGUAGAAACAGCCAGGACAGUGUACUCUGCCGUCACUAUUCAUGCCAGUCAUAUACUUAAGUCUUCUCCAAGAAGCUUCUGUGGUUUUGGUAUUACCCUGUAUUAAUUUUGAUCUAAUUGCAUUUACAUGUUGUGUCUUUAGUGAUAAGUUAUUCGACAACACAGUGAUACAUUAAAUCAAUAUUGAAGAAUGCAUACAUA
rnacentral:misc_RNA from 1 species